GAUGAACGCUGGCGGCGUGCCUAAUACAUGCAAGUCGAGCGAACAGAUAAGGAGCUUGCUCCUUUGACGUUAGCGGCGGACGGGUGAGUAACACGUGGGUAACCUACCUAUAAGACUGGAAUAACUCCGGGAAACCGGGGCUAAUGCCGGAUAACAUUUAGAACCUCAUGGUUCUUAAGUGAAAGAUGGUUUUGCUUUCACUUAUAGAUGGACCCGCGCCGUAUUAGCUAGUUGGUAAGGUAACGGCUUACCAAGGCAACGAUGCGUAGCCGACCUGAGAGGGUGAUCGGCCACACUGGAACUGAGACACGGUCCAGACUCCUACGGGAGGCAGCAGUAGGGAAGCUUCCGCAAUGGGCGAAAGCCUGACGGAGCAACGCCGCGUGAGUGAUGAAGGUCUUCGGAUCGUAAAACUCUGUUAUUAGGGAAGAACAAAUGUGUAAGUAACUGUGCACGUCUUGACGGUACCUAAUCAGAAAGCCACGGCUAACUACGUG
rnacentral:rRNA from 1 species